rnacentral:rRNA from 1 species
GUAAUACGUAGGUGGCAAGCGUUGUCCGGAUUUAUUGGGCGUAAAGCGAGCGCAGGCGGUUUUUUAGGUCUGAUGUGAAAGCCUUCGGCUUAACCGGAGAAGUGCAUCGGAAACCGGGAGACUUGAGUGCAGAGGAGGACAGUGGAACUCCAUGUGUAGCGGUGAAAUGCGUAGAUAUAUGGAAGAACACCAGUGGCGAAGGCGGCUGUCUGGUCUGCAACUGACGCUGAGGCUCGAAAGCAUGGGUAGCGAACAGGAUUAGAUACCCUGGUAGUCCAUGCCGUAAACAAUGAGUGCUAAGUGUUGGAGGGUUUCCGCCCUUCAGUGCUGCAGCUAACGCAUUAAGCACUCCGCCUGGGGAGUACGACCGCAAGGUUGAAACUCAAAGGAAUUGACGGGGGCCCGCACAAGCGGUGGAGCAUGUGGUUUAAUUCGAUGCUACGCGAAGAACCUUACCAGGUCUUGACAUCUUCUGCUAACCUAAGAGAUUAGGCGUUCCCUUCGGGGACGGAAUGACAGGUGGUGCAUGGUUGUCGUCAGCUCGUGUCGUGAGAUGUUGGGUUAAGUCCCGCAACGAGCGCAACUCUUAUUGUCAGUUGCCAGCAUUUAGUUGGGCACCCUGGCGAGACUGCCGGUGACAAACCGGAGGAAGGUGGGGAUGACGUCAAAUCAUCAUGCCCCUUAUGACCUGGGCUACACACGUGCUACAAUGGACGGUACAACGAGUCGCGAAACCGCGAGGUCAAGCUAAUCUCUGAAAGCCGUUCUCAGUUCGGAUUGCAGGCUGCAACUCGCCUGCAUGAAGUUGGAAUCGCUAGUAAUCGUGGAUCAGCAUGCCACGGUGAAUACGUUCCCGGGCCUUGUACACACCGCCCGUCACACCAUGAGAGUUUGUAACACCCAAAGCCGGUGAGGUAACCUUCGGGAACCAGCCGUCUAAGGUGGGACAGAUGAUUAGGGUGAAGUCGUAACAAGGUAGCCGUAGGAGAACCUGCGGCUGGAUCACCUCCUUUCUAA